UAGGUGUAUAAGUAGUGGAGUUACUAGGUAUCAGCAUGGUCAGAGAAAGAAAAAAACUUUGAGGAUAGCACCAGCCCCCCUGGGGCUCACCAACUUCGCCCCUCGGCCCAGACUUGGCCACACUAGUGGCUAACUGUGGCGCCAGAGUGGGAUCCGCCUCAAAAAAAGUCAGAUGUCAUCACAUUUUGGAAUGAAUGAUGACAUUUCAGGACAAUGUCAGUGUCAUACUAAAUCCUGGACACAUAUGGACCAUCAAUCCGGCUCUCCUCACACUAUGGAAGGACUAAACCAAGUGUCCGGAUACCUUUGAAUCACACAUGAAAUAUGUCUAAGAAAUAGAUAGGGGCCGAGAUUUUCUUUCCUCCAAAUCAAAUGCGGGCAUCAUUCAACAACAUCACCACCCACUGUGCCCCCUCUUGCACUUUCCAGCGACCCAGCUAUGUCCACUGAAGCCUCACACUGCCUCCGUGUCCAACUUUGAGGCAUGGACAUGACUGCCUUAUCGCUUCUAGAACAAGUGACCCGUGACGGAUCAGCCUUCCAGAACUAUGACAUCCAAGGGAAUAACUUAUCGUUCAUUAUCUUCUGUCAUAACGAUAGCACUUUUUUUUUUUGGUGGACGCCGAAGAACUCAAUAUGUUUUCUGAAUGUGCAAGAAAAAGAAGUCCAUCUAUAUUUAACUAAUAAUUUAUCAGAAGAGAAUAACAACUUCUAAGUUUUAAAGUAACAUUGCUGUAUUUAUUUUUCAAUUGAUGUUUAGAGUUAUUAGCUAUUUGGAUCAAAACUGAACCGUAUGAUAGAAUUUAUAAGGAACUCUAGCUAGCAAAUAGGAAACGCAAUUUUAAAAACACUUAAUUAUUUAAUUAAUGUCAUAAUUCAUGGUAAAUAGAAUUUCUGUGUUUUUCCCACCUAAUUUUUCAUUUAAACGCUAUGUCAGUAUAACUUUUUUUUUGUUGUUUACUUAUUUAUUUGUUCUAGUGAAAUUAUUUUAGUAAGGAUUAAUUUUCUUUUGUUCUCUUAGGUAAACUUUUUUUUCUGUUUAUAUUAUAUACUGCAAUUACAUUAAUUUCUUCCCCUUUACCCCUGAUUACGGAAGAAAAAAAAACCAAUGUAGGCCUACUACUUUAGUACUUCAUAACUGAAACACUACUAUAAUCAGGAUCUUAAAGCAAAGAAUUAUCUAUUAUUAUGAUUAUCUACAGUGAAUAUUAUAUGCAAUUAGUUUUAGAAUGGAAUCAUAUUAACAUAGUGAAAUGCAUACACUUCUUUGACGCCUGGAACUUCAAUUGGGAAGUAACUCUAGCAUCUGUUGGCGAUUGAACUCAAUUCUAGCCUUUACUUUGAAAGACGUUUGACUUGUUAAAUGCGAUGUUUACUUCACCUCAAAUUAAUCAGAUUUUAUUUUUAUAUAUCACGUAAAUCCUAUAGUCUCAUUAUAUAACAAAAUUAAACGCAGUCCGUUACAUUAAAAUUUAUAAUGGCUAUUAAUUUCCAGAUAUUGUUUCACGUUCGAUAUGUCUGUCUCGGGGAUAUAAUUUCUAUUUUAUAGCAUCACCUCAUUUCUUCUCUAACCUGACCAAUAGAGAGUCCUCUCUAACUGAAUCCUUGGUCAGCUCCUAACACACGUACAAACUCUGAAAAUAUAAUCUUCAUCUAUAUUCUAGAAUAUAUCUUCCUGCUAACCUCUGUCCAGAGUGUGUGUACUAUAAUCCCUAGGAUCCCUCAUGCUUUAUGCUUAUCCUAUACCCAAACUCUUGAAUAUAAUCUCAAACUAAAAUCUCUCGCUUCGCUCUAAUCUCACUCUGAACUCUAACCCUUGAAAUAUAAUCUCUAACAAAAAGUCUUUUUUAUUGUAACUUCCAGCUUAUGCUUCAAUAUCACCAUUUUUUUUAUUUUUUUUUUCUUGUGUGGGUUUAUUUUUUUUUUUUAUAUUUGUUUUGGUCAGCUUGUAGGUAGACCUGCUUAGGUGAGAACAGUAUUGAUAAUUACCUUGUAAGUAUUGGUGUAACAUAACUCUGAUUGUUUUGUUUGAGGAUUUUUCAGUAGAUUAUUGUCCCUUUCACUUUUCAUUCGAAAGUUAGCUUUUUUUCCAAUUCUGAUAUUCACUUAUACACUGCAUUCGUUAGAUUUAGUUUUAGGUGUGCAGCAUAUGCUGGAAUAGGUCCACCUACACAGCAUCCAUUUCUGGUUUCAGUUUUAAAUCUUUUAAUUAAAUGAUGCAAUUGUUAAUUACAGAAAAUAGUUUCAGACUAUCUGGAUAUAUGCCUAGACUAAUGUAGUAUGCAUCUUAUUUUUAAACCAAUUAAUGAAGUAGAAUUUUAAAUUAAAGUGAAAGAAAAAUAAAUUAAAGGUAAAAAUAAAAAAUAAAUGGUGAUUCAAAAUUAUAUGUCAUUAUUUAUUGUUAUUAUAUAAUUAUAACUAUAAUUAUUAUUAUUAUUAUAUAGGUUUCAGGGAUGUGUAGGUAGACUUUGACCUGUGUGGUAGAUUUAUUUUUGUUUCUUUAGCUUAAGAAAAUAAUUUAACAAUGAAUAGCAUUGCCAAACUAAUUGGUUUGUAUUAUCUUGCGUGCUGUUUCUUACAUUCUGGGUUUUUUGUUUUGUUGGGUUUUUUUAAGAAACUAUAAAGAGAGAAAGAGUGAGAGAAAGAGAGGGAGAGAAAGUAGAAGAGACAUGGGGGAAGAGAAAGAUUGAGACAGAGAUAGACUGAUACACUCUGCUAUUUAAAACAAUAAUAGUAACAACAUAUGUGAGUGUGUAUUCGUGAGAGAGAGAGAGCGAGAGAAAGAGAGAGAGAGAGAGAGAGAGAGAAAGAUAAAUAAAAUAUAACAAGAAAAAAAUUAUAUCUGAGGCAUUCCUAAACAUUCCUAAUUAACAAUGUACAUAAUCAUUUUAUCGUGUAAAUAUUUCACUAUUAUCUAUUUUAUUCUAUUCUAUUCAUUUCGUUUACACAUUUCACAAUAACCCUUAUCGAGUCCGUCCACUAAGAUCGAUAAGUUAUUUAUCAUCUCUGUACAUAGCGCAAAUGUAGAACUAUAACAAUGGGAUGUAGGCUACACUACAAUAUCCCCAGGAGAAAAAUUAAAUACUCAAGGGAAAAAAACUCUGAAAGAAUGGGGGAAGGGGCUGAACGAAAGGAAAAAUAGAGAGAGAAAGAGAGAGAGAGAGAGAGAGAAGAGAGAGAUAGAAGAGAGAGAGAAGUGAUAUAGAGAGAGAGAGAGAAAAGAGAGAGAGAGAGAGAGAAAGGGAGACAUAGCUUAUGAGUUUAAAAAAGGGGGUAAAAAAGAAGAAUGAGAGAGAGAAAUAACAAAAAAAGAACAGAUUUUGUUUCUAUUUUUAUUCAGAUUAUGUUUUACAUAUAACUUUAUACAUACAACUAAAUAUAAGCAACGAAGAUUAUAUAUAUAUAUAAAUAUAUAUAUAUAUAUACAUAUAUAUACAUAUAUAUAUAUAUAUAUAUAUAUAUAUAUAUAUAUAUAUAUAUAUAUAUAUAUAAUACCAUAUACAUCAGUAUACAUACAAACUUAUAUAAUAAAUAUUAAAGUGUAUUUUAUAUGUUAAACAUAUUUCACUUACCUAUGUACAAAUCAAUGUAAAUAAUGAUUAUUUAAUUUAUAAUGUAUGAAAAAUGUAUUUAUUCUCAAUGGAUAUUGUGGCUUUUGCCGAAACCACAUAUUCCACAUGUGGGUCGCUUAGCCACACCAUUCCACUGUAAUCAUCAGAGCUAUACCUGUGAUAAAAUCAGAACUCCGUCCAUUUUUAUUUUUUUUUUACAUUUAUAUAUAUAUAUUGUUUUGUAUUCUGUGUAUGCGCCACUUGAGGUCGCUGUCUGACACGUGACAGCGCCAUCUUUGUGACGCGACUUAUGUAUGUACAUAUCAUUAUAUAUUUUUAUCUUCAUAUUUAAAAAAAAACUUUGUUUUAAAUAAAUUAUAAUUUGUAUCACAAA